rnacentral:rRNA from 1 species
AACGAACGCUGGCGGCGUGCCUAACACAUGCAAGUCGAACGAGAAAGGGGCUUCGGCUCCGAGUAAAGUGGCGCACGGGUGAGUAACACGUGGGUAACCUGCCUGUAAGACUGGGAUAACUUCGGGAAACCGGAGCUAAUACCGGAUACGUUCUUUUCUCGCAUGAGAAGAGAUGGAAAGAUGGUUCUGCUAUCACUUACAGAUGGACCCGCGGCGGAUUAGCUAGUUGGUGAGGUAACGGCUCACCAAGGCUACGAUGCGUAGCCGACCUGAGAGGGUGAUCGGCCACACUGGGACUGAGACACGGCCCAGACUCCUACGGGAGGCAGCAGUAGGGAAUCUUCCGCAAUGGACGAAAGUCUGACGGAGCAACGCCGCGUGAGCGAAGAAGGCCUUCGGGUCGUAAAGCUCUGUUGUUAGGGAAGAACAAGUACGAGAGUAACUGCUCGUACCUUGACGGUACCUAACCAGAAAGCCAUGGCUAACUACGUGCCAGCCGCCGCCGUAAGAC